AACAUCUCAAGACUCUGACAAUCAUAAAGUACAAAGGUUUCGAGAGAUUUCAUAUGAAUGUUGCUUGGAAGACUCUUAAGUUUUUGGCAAUCUGAUAGGUUCAAAUGAAUCAACCCCGUGAAAUUAUUAAUUGACAUGGGCAGUUGUUUAAUUUUUGACCCGGAUAAAUUAAGCUCUUCUAACCCCUCAAUACCAUCUGAAAUCAAUGGAAACAUCUCAAGACUGGAGCAGCCACAAACAUUAAAGGUUUUCAGACAUUUCAAAUGAAUGCAACUUGGAAGACUCUCAAGUUCCUUGCAAUCUUUUAGGUUGAAAUGACUCAACCCCGUGAGAUUAUUAAUUGACUCGGGCAGUUCUUUAAUUUUGGACUCGGAUAAAUUAAGCUCUUCUAACUCCUCCAUACCUUCUGAAAUCUCUGGAAACAUCUCAAAAUUGGAGCAGCCAAAAAGAUUAAAGGUUUUGAGAGAUCUCAUACGAAUUUUAUUGGGUAGAAUCUUAAGUUCCUUGCAAUAUGAUAGGUUCAAAUGACUCAACCCCGUGAGAUUAUUAAUUGACUCAGGCAGUUCUUUAAUUUUGGACUCGGAUAAAUUAAGCUCUUGUAACUCCUCCAUACCUUCUGAAAUCUCUGGAAACAUCUCAAGACUGGAGCAUCCAUAAAGAUUAAAGGUUUUCAGACAUUUCAUAUGAAUGCAGCUUGGAAGACUCUUAAGUUCCUUGCAAUCUCUUAGGUU
rnacentral:lncRNA from 1 species